rnacentral:lncRNA from 1 species
UAAUGAUAAAAAUAAUAAAGAGCAUAAUAAAAAUAAAAAAUAGGACAGGUCAGAGUCAACCUCUUCACAACUAUAGUUACCACCAACUAAGUACACAGUGAAAAAUCAUUUUUUCACUAUGUACCUGAUAGAACUUAAACAUUGAGAUGAAAAUAUCACUGAUUUCAAAAUUUCCCUUAAAAAUUUAAUAACAUGUUCAGUUGUCGUUGCAAUGAUAAAUAUCUAUUCAACUCUAAGAAAUUGUGUAAUCUAUAACAUCUUAUUCCAUAACAUCAGUCUCAACACAAAAGAAAACUACAUCAGCUUCAUCAGAAGAAACUUAUCCCAAAGACUAAAAGAAUAUAAAGGUAGCAUAAAGAAAGGUUCAACAGAUAUAGCAGUCUCAAUAAGGACUUUAGAAUGUAAUAUUAAAAAUCUGUUGGUGGGAAACCAAAAUGAUAUAGUAUGCCAAUCAUUGUGAAGAAGGUUACAUACCUGCAAAUUUAGCAUUGUGUAAAAGGAAGUUAUCAUUAACAUGCAAGAACUAGAAGUGAUUUCUUUUAUUGAGAGUAACUUUAUGCUCAUGUCAUGACUUUUCUUGUUUAUUUCUUUUUUAUUUUAAGUCUAAU